UACGGGGGGAGCAAGCGUUGUUCGGAUUUACUGGGCGUAAAGCGUGCGCAGGCGGUUCGUUAUGUCCGAUGUGAAAGCCCCGAGCUUAACUUGGGAAUGGCAUUGGAAACUGGCGGGCUGGAGUGCGGCAGAGGAGACUGGAAUUCAUGGUGUAGCAGUGAAAUGCGUAGAGAUCAUGAGGAAGACCAGUGGCGAAGGCGGGUCUCUGGACAGUUCCUGACACUGAGGCACGAAGGCCAGGGGAGCAAACGGG
rnacentral:rRNA from 1 species